ACAGCCCUGAAGUAUCAAUUUAUUUUCCCCCAGGAAAACAAGAGAGCUGCUAGAACAAACAUGACAUCAGUUUUCAGUCCCCCCUCCAGCUGCUCAGUUCCUGGUUCCCCAGAGUGUGGGCAGCCUGGCUUUGGCUUGUGGCUGGCACCUCUGUGGCACCACCUGUGUGUAGUCAGAGGCAUCAUCUGCACCUUUCCCACAUGCCAAGUUAUGCUGCAGUCUCCCUGUGGAGUCCACAUGACAUUUUAACUGAUAUAGACAACAUAUUAGGGAUGAAAGGUCUAUUUUCUAGAUAAUUUCCUUCCUCUGGGGAUGCCUGCUGACAUACCAGACACAUAUGCCUUUCUUUGGCCUCCCCUUCACCCACAUCUCCCACAAAUCCUCUUGAACAAUUCCUAAUGGCUGAGAGCUCACUUAGGCUUAAUUCUCAUUAAUUGUGCAGUGGUGUGAACAGAUAAAACCAUCCUGCUGGGGUGGGGGUACAUGAGAAGGGACAGAGCCGAGCUGCCCUUUCUGCAGCACAUUUAAUCCACUGAGCAAAUGGGAGGUUACAAGAGAGAAGAGGGAAUACUUUUUUAAGCCACCAACAUAAAAAAAAAAUCUUGGUAUGAGUUAAAAAAAAUAUUUAAAAAGCACUGCCUAUGUUCAACAACAAGGUCUUCAUAGGCACUUUCUAGAGCAAAGCUAUACUGCAAUGCACAGGGCUGCCUUGGAUUAAACACCACGUUCACCUGAGUUUGUAAGAGCAAGAAACAACUUAGUGCAAAGGGAAAGACAAUUCUCUCCUCAUACCUGAGUGGUCUUGUGGAUGUAGCGGCGUAUGAUGUCUCUAAUGUUGCUGUUCUUCUCUGUUUGGAAAUACACAGUGGCGGUGGAUUUUUCCUUUAAAUAGGGCUUCUCUGCUGUAAUCCAUGUGUGGAGCAGAGCCGGCUCGCUGCUGUCAGAAAUGGUGGGGAAGUAGGUCCCCGAAGGCAGUGACCCGGCGUCGUUCUGCUUUGGCACGGCUGCCCCGUCCGCACCUGGGGACUCCUGUGCAUAGUAGGACUCCCUGGCGUUAUCCUUGAUGUACUGAGCUUCCACCGAGGAGAGGAAAUCCACCUCACCCUCUCUGCUUAGAGUUUGGAGGUGCUGGUGUACUCCGGCAACAAUCUGUUUCCAGAUGGGACACAAAUGCAAAGCUGAUUAGAUUGCUUAUCUGAGAGGCACCCACCUCAGCCCCAAGGCAUACGAAGAAUUCGAGUCAAAUUUACCACGGCCGUCGGAUUCGAUUGUAUUUCCCUUCCUGUCGCAUCCUGUGAAAUAUGAGUGAGGAAAGCACUCAAGCAAAAGCAGGUAGGCUCCCAAGCAUCAUUGCACAAUCUUCAAAACAGCUUGAGGCAUCUCUAUCUUCCCAUAGUAUUCGUUAGGGAGAAAAAACAGCUCGGAUGGUGAACUGGAACAGAGACAGCAGCCAUGUCCAUGGGUUCAGAACAGCAGAAAGGGUCAUGGGCUCUGUUCUGCACCUACAUGCUGCCAGGCAGGCUUAAAAAUAGAUGUGAAGUUCGUCACUGUGCCCCGUCCGAAGUAUGUUGCUAUUACCAUAGACGAUUCACUCAUUUAUUUCUUUAAAGCUUUGUGACUACGCCAUCCUAUUAAAAGUAAAAUACCCCUUCCCAAA